AAUACAUGAUGACAACAGUUUUGGUCCCAGAUGAAGAGCAGUGAUUAUUUUCAAGAGAUCUACUGAUAUU